rnacentral:rRNA from 1 species
UACGUAGGGUGCGAGCGUUAUUCGGAAUUACUGGGCGUAAAGCGUGCGUAGGCGGCGCGUUAAGACAGGUGUGAAAUCCCCGGGCUCAACCUGGGAACUGCAUUUGUGACUGCAUAGCUGGAGUGCGGCAGAGGGGGAUGGAAUUCCGCGUGUAGCAGUGAAAUGCGUAGAUAUGCGGAGGAACACCGAUGGCGAAGGCAAUCCCCUGGGCCUGCACUGACGCUCAUGCACGAAAGCGUGGGGAGCAAACAGG